UACGUAGGGCGCAAGCGUUAUCCGGAAUUAUUGGGCGUAAAGAGCUCGUAGGCGGUUUGUCGCGUCUGGCGUGAAAGUCCGGGGCUCAACUCCGGAUCUGCGGUGGGUACGGGCAGACUAGAGUGAUGUAGGGGAGACUGGAAUUCCUGGUGUAGCGGUGAAAUGCGCAGAUAUCAGGAGGAACACCGAUGGCGAAGGCAGGUCUCUGGGCAGUAACUGACGCUGAGGAGCGAAAGCAUGGGGAGCGAACAGG
rnacentral:rRNA from 1 species